AUUCAGAAAUAAAGCAACUUGCCACUUCCCUUUUGUGGCUCCUCCUCAGACACAAAUAAAGCUGACAGGAAGUUCAGGUCUGUUUCUCUCUCUGUCUGAUGAUCAUGAUGUUCAAACUAAACCAAGCAGCACUGCUCUUCAUCGAGCUUUUAGUGAUGUGGCAUGUCUCUGCAGUAAUGCUUCAAGACGAAAACAGAGCUAUGAUGGUGUCCAGAGGAGACUCAGUGACGCUGACUUGCAACAUAUCCAAGACAAAUACAACGCAAAUCUCCUGGACCAACAACAGAUCUGUUUUUCAUUAUUCCAUUGAGCUGAAUCGCACCUAUUCAAAUUUCUCAUUGCAUAGACUGAAAAUAAAUCAUGAGCUCCCUACAAAGCUAAUUAUUUGUAGUGCUCAGCCCGAAGAUGAAGGAAUUUAUAAAUGUAGCAUAACAGGCAAACGUGGUGUAAACAUCAUUACAUGGAAUUUAACUUUGUCUGAUAGUCCCAAAGGUGGGUAGCGAAAAAAGGCAGAUGAAUCACUUCUAGUAAAGGUCAAAUAAGCCAUUUAAAUGAAUUCUCUGCUGAUUUUAUACAGAAUCAAUUUCAUCACAAUAUUUUCUAUACAUACUCCCACCUGCAAUUGGAUUCCUUCUGUGUGGUAUCACACUAGCUGUCUUCCUCUACAGGUGAGUACAACUUUUAUAACUUCAUGAUGCAUGCACGAAUGUUGCUCUUUGUUAUGCUGAUGCAGAACUGUUGCAGAAGUGCUUGUAAGACGGAUUUCAUUAUUAAACAACAAUUUUAUUGUGUAUGCCUGCAUUGAAAGAGUUAGUUCAUCUCAAAUUACCAAUGAUUAUUUUUUAGUUGACCGAGCAGUUAAUUUUACGUACAUGUUGAGGAUUUGAAGCAUCUAAAUGCAGCGUGUUGUGAAUUUUUGUGUGUUCACUAUUUCUGCAAACACCACAAAUCUAAUCUAAAUUAAAAGAGGUGAAUCAGCCCUGAGUGCUUUAGCUUGACUUAUUUUUCUAUGCAGUAGAGGAUGAAAAGAGGAAAUGUCAGUAGUGAGGACGUGUUUGUGGUUAGAGUCAAAGUUGAGUCAAGGGCCAUUUUCUAUCCAACCACAACCUCUAUGUUCCUUUUUUUUAACUAGAAAAGAGUCCAGUCUGCAGAGGCUCAUCAUACUUAAAAGCUUUUGGAGAACAAAGAAAAAAGAACAAUCCAUGAGUCUGGGUAUUAGUUUUUAUGUUUCAGUACUGUAAUCAUGGUGUGGUACACAGGUAACCAAUCCAACAACAACACAGGAUCGAGCAAUAAGAAGGACAACAAAAUUGUAAUGCUGAAUUCAUAACUCGAGGAUAACUGGAUCAUAGGUGUAACUAAACACAAACAUUUACCAGGUAUAGCCUGGUAUUUUUAUGUUUAACUUGUGGUAAGUUACAGCGCGUUAGCAAGCACAAGAGUGUAACAGUAUAUAGUUACAGUAUUGUACUUAUAUAUAUAUCAAAGUGAGCUGUAUUACAAAGUGUUACAAUACAAAAAAGGAAGGCUUCCAAGGACAGUUUUCAUGUUUUCUAUUGGUAUGAUUUUUCAGUUCGUGUUGUUUCCAAAUUAUGUUUUAAUACAAUUCAAUAUAUAAUUCAGUUCAUUAUCUAACAUGUUAAAAAAAUAUAGCUACAAAUAGUGACUGCCUUCAUUGUCUGGGUUUUCUCACAGUGAUAGACAUUUUGCAUUUCCUGUGGUCACUAUAAGAUUUCGAGUUUGUUACAAUUUACUAACCAACUCUCAUGUGAUAAUGGACACGAAACAGGUGGAUAUAACUAAAAUGUGGUCAUUAUUGGUCACUGCUUUUACUCUGCAGAAAAAUGAGGAGGAGGGCACUGAAUCAGGAUCCAGUCCAGGAUCAGUUUCCACCUAAUUCAGGAGACCAGGCAGCGUUCUCUCAACCACAGGGUGGCACUGCUCACUGUAAAAACGACAAACAGAGUGGUCAGUAUAUGGAGAGGCUGAAUUUAAUCUAUGGCCACUACUGAGCUGAUCAGUCUUCCAGUUACACAGAGACAUGGAUGUUUUUCAACUUGAAAGCUGAAACUGCAGGGGAACCCCACCAGAAUGAGGACAGCAGGGCUACUGUUGCAAAGAAAUGUUGGAUUCAAGGACUAGAGAAAGGACAUGAACAUGCUGUUUCAGAGACAGAAGGAGCAUUUUUAAAAAGUUUUCAGUGCAGGAACAUUGUAUAUUAAUAUAUUUAAAUGGCUAUAACAGUUACUGAAAGGUACAUAACAAAGUCAUAAUAAAAUAAUACACUAUAUUUACAAUCCCCACAUAUCUUUGAUGAUAUGUCAGUAUAUUUUUCAGUACAGACAAUGGCAACAAUGAACAUGGUUUAAAAUACCUCAAACAUUUUUAUCACUUUCACCUUUAGAUCAGUGUUUCCAGGAAAGAGGUACUUUCUAUAUGUUCACAAUGCAUACCACCAGAAAUCAUCAAAGUUAUAGGGCUUUUUGUCUCUUUGUGAAAAACAAAACAUUAAGUGGACUUGAUGGCCUUGCUGGAUGUAAGAGAAAAUUUAAUGGCGUUUUUAACAUGACCCAACUUUACACUAAUACAAGUUUUAACAAAUUAAUUCAACACAUUUUAAGUUAUCGUGAUUGCAGACAGAAUGACAUGCACAUACACAAAUGCUACCAAAAUACAACCUACAACUGGUGAAGUGAAUAAAUAUCCAUGUUAUGGCAAUAAUGGAUGAACCGAACAGAAUCCACUUGGAGCUUUGAGAGAACAACAGGUGGUUGUUUUCAGAAUUAAGAAAAAUGAUUCCAAACCUUUUAAUCUUUUCAGUGGAGAAUAUCAGUGAAAAUUAGUUUUUAGUUUCUUAGCUGGUUUAUUGAAUAGAAACAAAGCCUAAUUGUUGUUGAUGGAAUAUGUAUAUGAAUAUGUAUAUGUCUAUGAGGAUCCACAAUGUCUCCUCAUCUUCCAUAGUCCUCAGCACUGGCUCCCCUCAGGGCUGUGUGCUAAGUCCCCUCCUGUUCACGCUGCUUACAUAUGACUGCUCAACCAGGCUGUCAUAUUGUAAAGUUUGCGGACAACACAGCUGUUGUUGGUUGCAUCACAAACAUUGAUGAGACUGGCUACAGGAAGGAUGUGGAACACUAAGAGGACUGGUGCAGGAAAAACAAUCUCUAGAGAUUGGCAUAUAUAAGUACAGAGCUGUGUUCAGAAGAGACUUGUUGAUGUUGACUUGCACCAUAUUAAUAAAAAAAUAAAACAAUAAUCUCUUGGACCAAAGUAAGAUCUGAGGAUAGCAGGGAUAGCAGUGGUGCCUGUGCUUUUUUAGAAAAGUAUAGUUUAAAAUGAGUUUGACCAACAUGCAUAUUAACAUGCAUAAUGCCAAACAAGAUUUGAUUAGCAAGUUGUGUUUUUUUAACAAAGUUAAAUGCAUAAAUGCAGAACACAUAGUGGAACCACAUGUAAUGCUUUUAAAAAGCCAGCAGAUGGUGACAGUUGAUUAUAUGUUAUGACACGAUAUGUAACUAAAUUGAUACUUUGGUUAGCACUAACUGAAACAAGUGUGAUUUUAAAAAGGGCCUUAACCCUUUGUGUAUCUAAGAUGAAUAUUUCGGAUGUUCAGAAUUGGAGGUUCGUGAUAAUACCUGUUUAAGUUAGCUCUGUGUUUUUCUGCAUUGCGCCAAAUACAUUCUGUUUUUUAGAGGAUGUUUUGUGGUCAUUACGUUGAGAGGCUCAGUUCAAGCUGUCAGCUGACAAGAAAACAGUUCUGAGAAAAACUGAACAGGAAACAAAGUGUGCAAAAGAAAAGACACACUGGAUGAAUCGCUCUACAGUUUGGAAUAUAAAGAUCUGAACAGCGCUCUCUGGUGACAAUUUCUACAUCUACAGGUAAUAUCUGAUGGUGAUGUUAUUUCCAUGACAUAAAAAAUAUUGGCACUAACUGGUUGCAGGUGAAAUAGAACA